rnacentral:rRNA from 1 species
GGCUACACACGUGCUACAAUGGGUAGUACAGAGAGUCGCAAAGCCGUGAGGUGGAGCUAAUCUCAGAAAACUAUUCUUAGUCUCGGAUCUGUACUCUGCAACUCGAGUACAUGAAGUUGGAAUCGCUAGUAAUCGCGAAUCAGCAAUGUCGCGGUGAAUACGUUCUCGGGUCUUGUACACACCGCCCGUCACACCACGAGAGUUGGUUGCACCUGAAGUAGCAGGCCUAACCGCAAGGAGGGAUGCUCCGAGGGUGUGAUUAGCGAUUGGGGUGAAGUCGUAACAAGGUAUCCGUACGGGAACGU